GAUGAACGCUGGCUACAGGCUUAACACAUGCAAGUCGAGGGGAAACGACGGGGAAGCUUGCUUCCCCGGGCGUCGACCGGCGCACGGGUGAGUAACGCGUAUCCAACCUGCCUCUGACUGAGGGAUAACCCGUCGAAAGUCGGCCUAAUACCUCAUGGCAUCGUCUGCGGGCAUCCAACUACGAUUAAAGAUUUCAUCGGUCAGUGGUGGGGAUGCGUCUGCUUAGCUUGUUGGCGGGGUAACGGCCCACCAAAGCUACGAACAGUAGGGGUUCUGAGAGGAAGGCCCCCUAGAACGGAGCCGCGGCACAGUCUACUAUGCUACGCGAGGGAGCAGUGAGGAAUACUGGUGGAGGGGGGGGGGCCUGACACAGCCACGUAGGGUGCAGGAGGACGGCGAUCGGGGUUGUAAGCUGCUUGUGUGCGAGGAUAAAGUGAGGAACGUGGCCUUUAUUGCCGGUACCGAAUGAAUAAGCACCGGCUAACUACGUG
rnacentral:rRNA from 1 species